GCAUUUAGUAGCUCAAAGGGUAGAGCACUAGAAAAAGAAGUCUUGUCAAAGGCUUUAACAGCAAGUUCUUUAGGGAUUUAGGUGUCGCAGGUUCGAAUCCUGCCUAGUGCG
rnacentral:tRNA from 1 species